rfam:Nomascus leucogenys chromosome 19, whole genome shotgun sequence.
AUCCUUUUGUAGUUCAUCAGUGUCAUGAGUGGGUUUUCAAGCACGUGUCAAAUGUGUCUCCCUCAAACUGUUAUGUCGUUGGCAUAUUACCUAACGUGAAA